rnacentral:rRNA from 1 species
UGAACGCUGGCGGCGUGCCUAAUACAUGCAAGUCGAACGGACCUCUUCGGAGGUUAGUGGCGAACGGGUGAGUAACGCGUUGGUGACCUGCCCCAAAGUGAGGGAUAACAGCUCGAAAGGGUUGCUAAUACCGCAUAAGGUUAUGCUGGUUAGAGAGGUAUAACUAAAGGAGAAAUUCGCUUUGGGAGGGGCCUGCGUCCCAUCAGCUAGUUGGUAGGGUAAAAGCCUACCAAGGCGAUGACGGGUAGGGGACCUGAGAGGGUGACCCCCCACAAUGGAACUGAAACACGGUCCAUACACCUACGGGUGGCAGCAGUAGGGAAUAUUGCAUAAUGGGCGAAAGCCUGAUGCAGCAACGCCGCGUGUGCGAUGAAGGCCCUCGGGUCGUAAAGCACUUUUACAGGGGAAGAGGAAGGACGGUACCCUGUGAAUAAGCCUCGGCUAACUACGU